GAUGAACGCUGGCGGCGUGCUUAACACAUGCAAGUCGAACGGAAAGGCUCCUGCUUGCAGGGGUACUCGAGUGGCGAACGGGUGAGUAACACGUGGGUGAUCUGCCCUGCACUUCGGGAUAAGCCUGGGAAACUGGGUCUAAUACCGGAUAGGACGAUGGUUUGGAUGCCAUUGUGGAAAGUUUUUCGGUGUGGGAUGAGCUCGCGGCCUAUCAGCUUGUUGGUGGGGUAAUGGCCUACCAAGGCGUCGACGGGUAGCCGGCCUGAGAGGGUGUACGGCCACAUUGGGACUGAGAUACGGCCCAGACUCCUACGGGUGGCAGCAGUGGGGAAUAUUGCACAAUGGGCGCAAGCCUGAUGCAGCGACGCCGCGUGGGGGAUGACGGCCUUCGGGUUGUAAACUCCUUUCGCUAGGGACGAAGCGCAAGUGACGGUACCUGGAGAAGAAGCACCGGCUAACUACGUG
rnacentral:rRNA from 1 species